rnacentral:rRNA from 1 species
AGUGAACGCUGGGCGGCGUGCCUAACACAUGCAAGUCGAGCGAGAUUCUACAGAGUUUCGUAGAGUUUAGCGGCAAACGGGUGAGUAAUACGUAGGAAAUCUUCCUCAAAAUGGGGAAUAUCUUCGGGAAAUCGGAGUUAAUACCGCAUAAGACCACAGUUUGGCAUCAAACAGAGGUUAAAGCAGCAAUGCGUUUUGAAAUGAUCCUGCGGCCUAUCAGUUAGUUGGCAGGGUAACGGCCUACCAAGACUAUGACGGGUAUCCGACCUGAAAGGGUGAACGGACACACUGGAACUGAGAAACGGUCCAGACUCCUACGGGAGGCAGCAGUGGGGAAUUUUGGACAAUGGGGGGAAACCCUGAUCCAGCGACGCCGCGUGGAGGACGAAGGCUUUAGAGUUGUAAACUCCUUUUAGAGGGGAAGAAAAAAAUGACGGUACCCUCAGAAAAAGCCACGGCUAACUACGUGCCAGCAGCCGCGGUAAUACGUAGGUGGCGAGCGUUACUCGGAAUUACUAGGCGUAAAGCGUACGUAGGCGGUUGAAUAAGUCUUUAGUGAAAUUUCUUGGCUUAACUGAGAAGGGUCUAAGGAUACUGUUCAGCUUGAGUUUGGGAGAGGGAGAUGGAAUUCCUGGUGUAGCGGUGAAAUGCGUAGAUAUCAGGAGGAACACCAAUGGCGAAAGCAGUCUUCUGGUCCAAUACUGACGUUAAUGUACGAAAGCUAGGGUAGCAAACAGGAUUAGAUACCCUGGUAGUCCGCACUAUAAACGAUGUGCACUAGGUGUUGGGCCGAGCGGUUCAGUGCCGGAGCGAACGUGAUAAGUGCACCGCCUGGGGAGUAUGCCCGCAAGGGUGAAACUCAAAUGAAUUGACGGGGGCCCGCACAAGCGGUGGAGCAUGUGGUUUAAUUCGAUGGUACGCGAGGAACCUUACCUGGGUUUGAAAUGCAGGCGGAGUGGGUAGAGAUAUUCACGUCCCGCAAGGGACGCCUGUGCAGGUGCUGCAUGGCUGUCGUCAGCUCGUGCCGUGAGGUGUUGGGUUAAGUCCCGCAACGAUCGCAACCCCUGAUGCCAGUUACUAGCAGGUGAUGCUGAGGACUCUGUCGAUACUGCCGGUGACUAUAUUUUUUUAU